rnacentral:lncRNA from 1 species
ACUCCGGAAGUUGUCACUAAACAUUCGAGGGCAGUGGGGAACUAGGCUAGCCCAAGCAGCCCAGCGACCCCGCCUGGUAUAACUGGGCCUCGGGCGGAAAGUUUUAACAUGAAAACCUGGUUCAGCCAGGGCCGGCCUGGGCUGGAUUUUCAUCUCCACAUAAAAGAGCUCCACUUUUGGCCCGGUCUGGUCACAAAAGAGUACUUUAGCCACGCCUAGGCCUGGGAAGCUUGGGCCUAAGCCAGGCCAAGCUGCAGCUCUAUUAUGUAAUCCACUAACCAUCAGCCAUAUUUAUAUACAUAUUAAAUUUAAUAAUAAUAAUCAAUCAAAGUUAAAACAGUUAUUGAACAACAAAUACUGUAACAUGCUUAUGCCCUGGCUGCGCUAUUAGGAUGCUAAGAUAGAAUCGGAAUAUUGAAGAUAAUCAUUGAUAUGUAAGGACCCAUGUGAGUAUGGAUUGUCUCAUAUCAACUAUACAUCGUAGAUUUUGGGUAUCUAUAUGGAGCCAAGGAAUUUAAAUAAUAUCUUUUGGUUAAUUUUUUUAGAAUGAGGNNNNNNNNNNNNNNNNNNNNAGUGGGGAACUAGGCUAGCCCAAGCAGCCCAGCGACCCCGCCUGGUAUAACUGGGCCUCGGGCGGAAAGUUUUAACAAAACCCAGGGCCGGCCUGGGCUGGAUUUUCAUCUCCACAUAAAAGAGCUCCACUUUUGGCCCGGUCUGGUCAAAAAAGAGUACUUUCCCCACGCCUUGGCCUGGGAAGCUUGGGCCUAAGCCAGGCCAAGCUGCAGCUCUAUUAUGCAAUCCACUAACCAUCAGCCAUAUUUAUAUACAUAUUAAAUUUAAUAAUAAUAAUCAAUCAAAGUUAAAACAGUUAUUGAACAACAAAUACUGUAACAUGCUUAUGCCCUGGCUGCGCUAAUAGGAUGCUAAGAUAGAAUCGGAAUAUUGAAGAUAAUCAUUGAUAUGCAAGGACCCAUGUGAGUAUGGAUUGUCUCAUAUCAACUAUACAUUGUAGAUUUUGGAUAUCUAUAAGGAGUCAAGGAAUUUAAAUAAUAUCUUUUGGUUAAUUUUUUUAGAAUGAGANNNNNNNNNNNNNNNNNNNNUCUUGGAUUGUUGUAAAUGGGAUCAGAGUAGAUGUAGUCCAUAAUUCAUAGACAUUGAGGGAUAAUAUAGUAUUCGUCUAUUUAGGCUGAUCUCGGUGCUUGUGAUUGGAUUUAUAGUACUUAUGAAUGGAUUAAAAUCUUUAGCUUGACUAGAAAGCCACAGCUCAUAUGAGAGGAGGAUGCGAAGAUUCAUAUGGGAAUUCAAAUAAUAUCUUUUAACUAACUUUUGUUAGAUGAGAUUCUUAGUUGUUACAUAAUAUCAAUAUGAAUUUAGAUAUUGCUUUUAUUGAAACUGAUUUGUAAGAUGAACCUAC